rnacentral:rRNA from 1 species
AGAGUUUGAUCCUGGCUCAGGAUGAACGCUAGCGGCAGGCUUAACACAUGCAAGUCGAGGGGUAGAGGAAGCUUGCUUCCUUGAGACCGGCGCACGGGUGCGUAACGCGUAUGCAAUCUACCUUAUACAGGGGGAUAGCCCAGAGAAAUUUGGAUUAAUACCCCAUAGUAUAAUUGAAUGGCAUCAUUUAAUUAUUAAAGUUCCAACGGUAUAAGAUGAGCAUGCGUCCCAUUAGCUAGUUGGUGUGGUAACGGCACACCAAGGCGACGAUGGGUAGGGGUCCUGAGAGGAGAUCCCCCACACUGGUACUGAGACACGGACCAGACUCCUACGGGAGGCAGCAGUGAGGAAUAUUGGUCAAUGGGCGCAAGCCUGAACCAGCCAUGCCGCGUGCAGGAUGACGGUCCUAUGGAUUGUAAGCUGCUUUUGUACAGGAAGAAACACUCCCUCGUGAGGGAGCUUGACGGUACUGUAAGAAUAAGGAUCGGCUAACUCCGUG